AUUAAAGGGUGCCCCGACCUCGAGAGAAAGUGUAAGCGAGGAGGACCGUAUUGGGACCUCAUCUCAUGCAUCCCCAAUACCAAAAUAUCAUCUAAGAGGAGCAACUUCAGCACAUUCCUUCCUUCCUUUUCUUGCUUUAGAAGACCAUCUACAUUUUAAUGUCAUCCCAGUCCUUUCGAGAUGAGCAGCAAAUUUAGCUUCAGGAUGAAUUAAGAGCGUUCAUGGUACAAGCAGCUUUCUUCUGGAUCAUUUCAGCAUUCAUUCCAGCAUAAGGAGAAACGACAAAUCCUUUGAUAAAUUUUUAAAUAUAUCCAGGCCUUCAAUGAUCAAGUGUCUCCAUGUGAAUCUUCUUGAUACAUUUGCUUUUGCUGUUGUCAAGCAUUUAAAGGGGCACUAGGAAGAGAAAAGCUUAAUUCCCUUUUAGAAGAUGUCAUUUGGCAUUUAAUGUUGUUUUGAUUGUUUUCUCUGAACCUUAUUUUGUUUGAUGUCCUUCGAUAUAAAGAUAUUGUAUUUGAAGACUUUGGAUGGUACUUCUGCUUCAUGUACCAAAAACAAUUGAAAGAUGGAGAUGUACUUUAUUAAUUAUUUCAGCA